rnacentral:tRNA from 1 species
UAUGUUUUAGUGUACGAGGCACAAAAGUUUUUGAUACUUUUAGCAACAGUUUGACUCUGUUAAACAUAA